CAGCAGCCGCGGGAAUACAGAGGGUGCGAGCGUUAAUCGGAUUUACUGGGCGUAAAGCGUGCGUAGGCGGCUUUUUAAGUCGGAUGUGAAAUCCCUGAGCUUAACUUAGGAAUUGCAUUCGAUACUGGGAAGCUAGAGUAUGGGAGAGGAUGGUAGAAUUCCAGGUGUAGCGGUGAAAUGCGUAGAGAUCUGGAGGAAUACCGAUGGCGAAGGCAGCCAUCUGGCCUAAUACUGACGCUGAGGUACGAAAGCAUGGGGAGCAAACAGGAUUAGAUACCCGUGUAGUCCCUGUCUCUUAUAU
rnacentral:rRNA from 1 species